rnacentral:rRNA from 2 species
CGAACGCUGSCGGCGUGCCUAAUACAUGCAAGUCGAACGAACUCUGGUAUUGAUUGGUGCUUGCAUCAUGAUUUACAUUUGAGUGAGUGGCGAACUGGUGAGUAACACGUGGGAAACCUGCCCAGAAGCGGGGGAUAACACCUGGAAACAGAUGCUAAUACCGCAUAACAACUUGGACCGCAUGGUCCGAGCUUGAAAGAUGGCUUCGGCUAUCACUUUUGGAUGGUCCCGCGGCGUAUUAGCUAGAUGGUGGGGUAACGGCUCACCAUGGCAAUGAUACGUAGCCGACCUGAGAGGGUAAUCGGCCACAUUGGGACUGAGACACGGCCCAAACUCCUACGGGAGGCAGCAGUAGGGAAUCUUCCACAAUGGACGAAAGUCUGAUGGAGCAACGCCGCGUGAGUGAAGAAGGGUUUCGGCUCGUAAAACUCUGUUGUUAAAGAAGAACAUAUCUGAGAGUAACUGUUCAGGUAUUGACGGUAUUUAACCAGAAAGCCACGGCUAACUACGUGCCAGCAGCCGCGGUAAUACGUAGGUGGCAAGCGUUGUCCGGAUUUAUUGGGCGUAAAGCGAGCGCAGGCGGUUUUUUAAGUCUGAUGUGAAAGCCUUCGGCUCAACCGAAGAAGUGCAUCGGAAACUGGGAAACUUGAGUGCAGAAGAGGACAGUGGAACUCCAUGUGUAGCGGUGAAAUGCGUAGAUAUAUGGAAGAACACCAGUGGCGAAGGCGGCUGUCUGGUCUGUAACUGACGCUGAGGCUCGAAAGUAUGGGUAGCAAACAGGAUUAGAUACCCUGGUAGUCCAUACCGUAAACGAUGAAUGCUAAGUGUUGGAGGGUUUCCGCCCUUCAGUGCUGCAGCUAACGCAUUAAGCAUUCCGCCUGGGGAGUACGGCCGCAAGGCUGAAACUCAAAGGAAUUGACGGGGGCCCGCACAAGCGGUGGAGCAUGUGGUUUAAUUCGAAGCUACGCGAAGAACCUUACCAGGUCUUGACAUACUAUGCAAAUCUAAGAGAUUAGACGUUCCCUUCGGGGACAUGGAUACAGGUGGUGCAUGGUUGUCGUCAGCUCGUGUCGUGAGAUGUUGGGUUAAGUCCCGCAACGAGCGCAACCCUUAUUAUCAGUUGCCAGCAUUAAGUUGGGCACUCUGGUGAGACUGCCGGUGACAAACCGGAGGAAGGUGGGGAUGACGUCAAAUCAUCAUGCCCCUUAUGACCUGGGCUACACACGUGCUACAAUGGAUGGUACAACGAGUUGCGAACUCGCGAGAGUAAGCUAAUCUCUUAAAGCCAUUCUCAGUUCGGAUUGUAGGCUGCAACUCGCCUACAUGAAGUCGGAAUCGCUAGUAAUCGCGGAUCAGCAUGCCGCGGUGAAUACGUUCCCGGGCCUUGUACACACCGCCCGUCACACCAUGAGAGUUUGUAACACCCAAAGUCGGUGGGGUAACCUUUUAGGAACCAGCCGCCUAAGGUGGGACAGAUGAUUAGGGUGAAGUCGUAACAAGGUAGCCGUAGGGAG